rfam:Spinacia oleracea cultivar SynViroflay scaffold46691.con0003.1, whole genome shotgun sequence.
AAACCAUGAUGUGGGCACUCCCUUUGUAGAUCCUUGAAUCUCUCCCAGACCUCGAAUAAACUCUCAUCUGCUUGUUGAGUAAUAGAAAUUAUCUGGCUCCUCAGACG